UGGGGAAUAUUGCGCAAUGGGGGAAACCCUGACGCAGCGACGCCGUGUGAGGGCAGAAGGCUUUCGGGUCGUAAACCUCUGUCAGGAAGGAAGAACCUCUCAAGGCUGAACAAGCCUUGGGACUGACGGUACUUCCAGAGGAAGCACCGGCUAACUCCGUGCCAGCAGCCGCGGUAAUACGGAGGGUGCAAGCGUUAAUCGGAAUCACUGGGCGUAAAGCGCGCGUAGGCCGUCUUUUAAGUUGGACGUGAAAGCCCUCGGCUCAACCGGGGACCGGCGUUCGAUACUGGGACACUUGAGGCCCGGGGAGUGUGGCGGAAUUCCGGGUGUAGGAGUGAAAUCCGUAGAUAUCCGGAGUAACACCGGUGGCGAAGGCGGCCA
rnacentral:rRNA from 1 species